rnacentral:misc_RNA from 1 species
GGCAAUUAAGAAAAUUUGGCUUGGGAAGCAAAAGGAAGGGGUUAGUUUUAUAACAAAAGUCGGUUGUCUAUGUCGUUUGUGCUAUAGAAACUUGAGGGCCAGAGCCCAGAGGAAGCCAAAUCAAAUUCAAAAUCAAUCAUGGGAAGUAAGCAAGCAAGCCGGAGCUUCAAGACUGGCCAUCACCGUAGGUCAGAGCGUAUUGUAUCGAGCUUAAGGGAGCUGAAACUUGAGUGGAAAAGCAUGGAAGAGAAAUAGAAAUAGAGAAUUGGGAUCCCCAAAUUGCGAUUGUUAGCUUAUCCUCUGUGGGUGGUUCAUUCAAAUUUUUUCCGUUGUUCCCAAAAUAACGUAGUGUUAGUGAAAUCCAAGUUCAGCUGGACCUAUGUGCGAGUAGUGGUGCUGUGGCUUGAGCGGAGGAGAUUUCAACGGAUAGGAAAGACAAGCAGGUGAAGGACCAACGGCGACGGUACAAAGGAAUACGAUUGUGGUUUCUAGAACCUUUAUAUGAAAAUAAGUGGGUUAGGAAGGCCUUCUUCGGUUAUGACUUAUAGACUGGGCUGGAGAAACGCCCAUUAAGUUUUGACUUGUAAGCAGUCUGCAACUGUGAUUAGAGUUGUAGCCUAGGAAAGCCCAACACGGGAAUACACGGAAAGCCGAAUACGGCAAUCAAACAAUAUAACCCGACCCUUUUACACGGAAAGCCCAACCCGGCAAUACAUUAUCCGUACCUUUCUCUUUACCUACGAGUCUACAACCACAAUCUCAAGCUUUCAGCUACUUUGGUUGAACUACCCGGUACCGGUGGACAUAAAAACUACCGAGUGCCCAGCGUCUCCAAGUGCAAAAAUGGAGAAGAGCUCAUGGGACUACUGGGUACAGGAGGCUCUUGCAAAGCUUGAGUCGCUAAAACUGCUUCGAUCUUUAAGGCCCAUUUACCUCUCUAAAGAGUCUAACCCUUCGAGAAAGGUUGCACUUGGAGUUAAUUACGAGGUGUUCGACGAAAUGCAGCCAUGGGAUCGGUCCUCCGUUGAAGUCUCCAUUUCAGAGUCCACAUUUCAGAAAUGGCUCCUUGAAAUUCCCAGUUCCGGAGAUGAUAUUGUGUGUGGAAAUGGAGUGACUGACCAUAAAGUUGAGCAGUCCAAGAAGCUACUUUUAUUCUCUGGCAAUGAUUACUUGGGGUUGAGUUCACAUCCCACAAUUGGCAAGGCUGCUGCAAAGGCAGCCCGAGAACAUGGAAUGGGACCAAGAGGUUCUGCUUUAAUCUGUGGAUACACCAGUUACCAUAGGGAAUUAGAGUCUUGCUUGGCAAACUUGAAGAAGAAAGAGAUCAUGGAUAAACUAUAAAUUGGUUAGUUGAAAUCCAUGAAGGAUUGUCUUCUUUGUCCGACUGGGUUUUCUGCUAAUAUGGCAGUGAUGGUAGCUCUUGGAAACAUCAGCUCUCUUUUGGCUUCAGCUGAAAAACCUCCAAAGAAAGAAAAGAUUGCCAUAUUUUCUGAUGCACUGAAUCAUGCUUCAAUAAUUGAUGGUAUUCGUCUUGCUGAACGACAACAGAAUGUAGAGGUGCAUGUGUAUAAACACUGUGAUAUGUCCCACCUUCGUUCACUAUUAUCAAGUUGCGCAUUGAAGAAAAAAGUUGUUGUGACAGAUAGGUUAGCCAUUUCAUUCUAACUGCUACUGUUCAAUACCUUCUUUCUAUCUUUCUCCAGUUGUUUUUUUACAUGUUUAAGAAAAACUAGACUGUCCUGCUUUCUUGUUAUAACUUCUUCCUGUCAAUAUGGAUUUGACCUAUUCAGAUUUAUUUAAUUUUUAUAUAUUUCUUAAAACAUCAUUGUGGAUAAACCCCUACAAUUUCCUCAGUGUACAUAUGUAUAUAUUGCGGAUUCAACGCAAGAGCUUCAUUUUGUUCUUGUUGCAGCUUGUUUAGUAUGGAUGGAGAUUUUGCACCAAUGGUUGAGCUUGUGAAACUUCGCAAGAGGCAUGGUUUUUUGUUAGUCAUUGAUGAUGCUCAUGGAACAUUUGUAUGUGGAAAAAAUGGUGGCGGAGUGGCUGAGGAGUUUAAUUGUGAAAGAGAUGUUGACAUAUGUGUUGGAACUCUGAGUAAGGCUGCUGGUUGCCAUGGCGGAUUUAUAGCAUGCAGCAAAAAUUGGAAGAAACUCAUACAAUCAAGAGGCCGCUCUUUUAUAUUUUCAACUGCUUCUCCAGUCCCUGUUGCUGCUGCUGCCCAUGGUAAAUUCUACUGCUUUUGCUUUUCCCUUUUGGUUUUAAUUUUUGUUUUCAGAACUCCCAUACCAACCAAUCCUCUGUAGUGCUGUACUUUUGUUAAAUCUAUGAUCUUUUUGUUGAUUACUUCUGGUAUUUGUCGCCAAGUAACUUGGCCCAUUUCCCAUAAACGCUGCAGUCUGUAAAAUGCCUCGUGCAUGUAGCUCGGUUUUGAUAUUGAUACUAAAGAUUAGUUUCAAAUGCAACUAUAUAAAGGCUUUUAUGGGGGUGCAUGUAAUCCUUUAUUUUUAUGCUGUAGUCAACAUAUAGCACUUUAUAUGAUAAAAUAAGAUUUAUUUUGCUAUAUCAUAGUACUAGGAUAUGUUAUACUAUUAUUUCAUCGUGUAGUCUUUUCCCUCCUUAGUUAAAUAUUUUGUAUUUGUAACAACUUGAGUAUAACCUGGCAGCUUCUGUUAUUGUGGCAAAAAAGGAAGUGUGGCGUAGAAAUGCAAUUUGGAACAGAGUUAGGGAGUUUCAGGCUUUAACUGGAAUCCCCAUCAAAAGUCCCAUAAUUUCUAUAAUUGUUGGGAGUGAAGAAAAAGCCCUGCAAGCCAGCCAGCAUAUGUUGAAAUCUGGUUUUCAUGUGACUGCAAUCAGGCCCCCAACAGUGCCUCCAAACUUAUGCAGGCUACGAGUGACUCUGAGUGCAACUCACACAGCAGAUGAUUUGAAGCAACUGAUAGCCGCACUGUCCUGUUGCAUCAACAUUCAAGAAAUUGGGAGCAACAGCUUAUACGCAUAUGCUAGACUCUAGAAAUUAAUCCGGGUUCAUCAUAUCAGUUAUGAAGAAUAGUAGAAUAUGGAGAAUUAUAGCAAGGCAAAUGAGAUACUAGUGCACACAAUUGGUGUGUGGUAGAGAUUAGGUCUUGUUAAAGAAGAUUUAGUUUCCAUUUCAGCUUAUUUUAGUCAAUGUAUUACUUUGGCAAAUUUAGUGUAAACACUGAGUUAAUGUAGUAGGACAAGUUCAUGCAAAUUGUUCCUAAACAAUAAUUGAGAAUGCAUGGGCCUGAGCCUGCCCAAUAUUAUAGCUCCUACCUGCAUGAAAAAUUCAAAAUGAAUACAAGGUUAUUUUAGCUGUGGAAAAA